GACGAACGCUGGCGGCGUGCUUAACACAUGCAAGUCGAACGGAAAGGCCUCUUUCGGGGGGUACUCGAGUGGCGAACGGGUGAGUAACACGUGAGUAACCUGCCCUUGACUUUGGGAUAACUUCAGGAAACUGGGGCUAAUACCGGAUAGGAGCUCCUGCUGCAUGGUGGGGGUUGGACAGUUUCGGCGGUUGGGGAUGGACUCGCGGCUUAUCAGCUUGUUGGUGGGGUAGUGGCUUACCAAGGCUUUGACGGGUAGCCGUCCUGAGAGGGUGACCGGCCACAUUGGGACUGAGAUACGGCCCAGACGCCUACGGGAGGCAGCAGGGGGGAAUAUUGCACAAUGGGUGGAAGCCUGAUGCAGCAACGCCGUGUGCGGGAUGACGGCCUUCGGGUUGUAAACCGAUUUCGCUCAUGACGAAGCUUUGUGUGACGGUAGUGGGUAAAGAAGCACCGGCUAACUACGUG
rnacentral:rRNA from 1 species